ACACGACAAUAGGUAGCAAAGAUAUUGGGAUUAGAAAAUUACAGUUUGUGGCAAUUUUUUUAUGAGACAUUUAUGGUAUGAUUUACGACCUCGUAGCUCCUAUAGUUUGAUUAAGGCACAAGUAUGAGAAAAUUAUUUUUGACAAAUUAUAAGAAAUGUCUCCGGUACAUAUCAGAAAUUAUAAGAAAUGUAUCCGGUACAUAUCAGAAAUUAUAAGAAAUGUAUCCGGUACAUAUCAGAAAUUAUAAGAAAUGUAUCCGGUACAUAUCAGAAAAAUAAGUGUACUGCAGUUUCUGGGAGGAAGGUAGGAAAGUAAACAAACCUCGGCCUGAGUAGCAUUGAGUUCGUUUACAUUCCUAUACUUUUAGAAACGUUUUUAUGUAAACAAUUAUAUUAUAUUAUAUUAUAUUAUAUUAUAUGGGGGUUUUUGUGUAUUUUUGGAUGAAAAUGCUCAUGCUCGUCUUUUCAUAGUUAAAUACUUUUAGAAAAAUAUAUUAAUUCAAAAUGUCAAUACUAGGUCUUCCCUAUAGAAUUGGACGAUUCAAGAUUACAAUUUUUCAUGUUCUUCUCUCCUGUACAAUAGUUUUCUCAGGAUUCUGGAUUUUUGUUCUCACAAAGCUGAUCAAUUCGAUUUUUGAUCGAGGAACAAAAAUUGUUGGAGAAAGUUAGAGAGAGCUAGUCCAAAUCAUUCAGUAUGAAAUAUCACAAGAAGGAUCUAGUCAUGUUUAGUUGCAAUGAUACCAAUUCUAUCUCUUUUCUUGAUCUCAUUUGGUUAAAGUUUUCAAUACAAUAGCUUACAAAUUGCGAUCAAUGUUGUUGCAAUAGUAAAAGUUUACAAUACAAUAGCUUACAAAUUGCGAUUAAUGUUGUUGCAAUGGUAAAAGUUUACCAUACAAUAGCUUACAAAUUGCGAUCAAUGUUGUUGCAAUGGUAAAAGUUUACCAUACAAUAGCUUACAAAUUGCGAUCAAUGUUGUUGCAAUGGUAAAAGUUUACCGUACAAUAGCUUACAAAUUGAAAUGGUUUGUGAACACUGCCCAGUUGAUGUGCUUAAUGUUCAUUAAACUAUUUAAAAUUAUAAAAAGUCGUCUUUCUUUUAAAAUUUUUUGUUCUCACUGUAUGAAAUCGAUGAAUUCUCACUGUAUGUAAUCGAUGAAAGACCAUGGAUGCCAAAAAAACGAAUUUUUACUUUUGUAAUCUUCAAGUUACCAAGAGAAAGUAAACAAUUAAAAACAUUUUCUUCUAUUCUCAUUUUAUUCUCUGCAUGUUGCACUAUUAAAAACAGCCUCCCCCCCCCCAUCCAUCCUUUUUAAUUAAAACUUUCAAAAAACUUUUCUUUAAUUAUACAUCACUGAAACAAUGUAAAAGAAAAAAAUAUAUAAACAAUUUCAAGUAAUAAUGUUCUGUUUUUAAUUUUGUAUGACUAUUACACAUGUUGUCUUUACUGAUACUUCUUCCCAUAAUUAAUUUAGCAAGCAAAAACGUAAUAAUAUAUAUUGGAGAAUAAACUGGUUUUGAAAUGGGGGAAAUAAUUUGUAUUAUUUGAAGAAAGUUAAUGAUAAUUGUUGGACGAAAAAAGAACAAUCUUUUAUAUGACCUGAUAAUCGGGACUUAUUUACUACUUAGUGCUGAACUAUGCAUCGAUUGAAUGAUUUAAAGGUCUAUACUCAAAAAGAACUGAUUACUCGCCGCAAACUCAGAUUUUUUAAUCAGCAUAUCAUUAUGUUGUAAACCGCUUAUAUUUCAAUCUUUAGGAAUUUGAAAUAACAAAGAUUAGAUCAAAGCAAUCAGAAUUAUAAAAUUCAAGUUUGUGGCAAACAGGGUAUAUAGGAUGAUAAGAAUCUAUAAAAAAAAAUCUGUUCUCAAUGUGAAAUAAUAAAUAUUUACUACUGCUACAGUCUUUUCUUACUUAAACGAACUGUCGGCGUAAUUUAAAUAUAAUUAUCAUUAAGUUCUCCAGUCGCAAAUAAAAUUUUUUUUUUUUUUUAACUCUAUGUGUUACAAAAUAACCCCAGACAAAAUUACCAAAAAAUGUAACUUAAUAUUACAAAAUACAACCAUCUCAUUAAUAAAUGUAAUCUAGUCAUUUUUGAAUCUCAUGUACAGCUGAAUGUAAUGUGUAUUUUUAAUCAAAUAAAUUUGUUUAUU
rnacentral:lncRNA from 1 species